GACGAACCGUGCGAACGUUGUUCGGAAUCACUGGGCUUAAAGGGCGCGUAGGCGGCCGACCAAGUCCGGGGUGAAAGCCCCCAGCUCAACUGGGGAAGUGCCUCGGAUACUGGCCGGCUUGAGGGAGGUAGGGGCGGAUGGAACUUCCGGUGGAGCGGUGAAAUGCGUUGAUAUCGGAAGGAACGCCGGUGGCGAAAGCGAUCCGCUGGCCCUCUACUGACGCUGAGGCGCGAAGGCGUGGGGAGCGAACGGG
rnacentral:rRNA from 1 species